UACGGAGGGUGCGAGCGUUGUCCGGAAUCACUGGGCGUAAAGGGCGCGUAGGCGGCGAGGAUAGUCAACGGUGAAAGCUUGGGGCUCAACCCCGAGUCGGCCGUCGAUACUUCCUUGCUUGAGCACUGUAGAGGCAGAUGGAAUUCCGGGUGUAGCGGUGGAAUGCGUAGAGAUCCGGAAGAACACCGGUGGCGAAGGCGGUCUGCUGGGCAGUAGCUGACGCUGAGGAGCGAAAGCAUGGGGAGCGAACAGG
rnacentral:rRNA from 1 species